ensembl:lncRNA
UAGAAUAUAUUUGUGAGUAUCACUGUAAUUCUAAAUUUGUCAUGUACUUCUAUAUAGGCAACCCCAGGUUUCUUCUCUCUGUUGCUUCACCCAGAGAGAAGAAAAAUGUAAUUAGGAUCUUGGAUUUAUGUCCAACAGCUGCCAAUUCCUCUACAAAGUGAUGUCACAGCCCACAUAGGCAGGCCAGGGAUACCAGUUAGCUUUUCUGUUCCCAAAUUUAAACUGUAUUAUCAUCUCCAGGGGUAUUUUUGUUUCUAGUUCUUAAGUUGACCACUGGCAAAACCCAGGCUUAAUCAUAGGCUAUUUUUGUGAAAUGUAUUUCUAGCACAGUUUGAAUUAGUGUUGAGAAAGCACCACAUAAUAAUUAUCACAUAUUGAGUGCCUAGUGUUUACCAGCUUAUGCACAUUAUUUCUCUGGUUAUCUUCCUCGCUUUAGUUAUCAGGAAAGUUAACCUUGUUUCUAGUAGCCCCUUCUGCCUCUAAAAUAGAAUAGAUUAGCUAGAUACACCCUUGGCCAUCAUUUUAAUGCCGGGUAUAAUUGUUUGCUGGGGCUGCCGUAACAAAAUACCUGAGGUCUUUGAUGACAGACAUUCCUCUCACAGUUCUGAAGGCUGGAGGUCCAAGAUCGAGGGGUGGGAGGUUUUGGUUUUCCACGAGCCGUCUUUCUCUGGCUUGCGGAUAUGCUCCUUCAGGUUCAGUUCUUGCCUGGCCCUUUCGAUGUGCAUGCACACUCCUGACCUCUCUUUGUCUUUUAGAAGGACACCAGCCCUACUGACUUAUCUAAUUUUAAUUACCUCUUUAAAGGCCCCAUCUCCAAAUACACUCAAAUUGGGAGUGGGGGCUUCAACAUAUGAAUUUGGGGAUAACACGUUUCAGUCUGUAACACAGAGGGGGAAAGAAUUAUUUCAGUGACAUAGUCUGGUAAAUGUUGGUGUACUCCAGUACAGGGCACGGUGUUGUAUUAGUCAUGCAGCCUAAAAAGGGGGCAAAGAUGGAGUUAAUAUGACCAUAUAUUGUGGGUCUGAAUUUGGUUUAAUCUGCUCUCUGGGGAAAGUGCUUUUCCUUUUUACAAGCAACAGGUGUCUGCAGAGGGAAUCUGCCUAAAGUAGUUUGUUCUGCCUGGAUAGGCAAAUCAUACAUUCAGAAAAAUAUCAGGAAAUCUGGGCAGAUAUGUAUUUAUCAUAGGUGGUAAAUUUACAAAUAUUCCUACUACAUGUAAGACCCAUGUUAGGGAAAGUGAUUGAUAAUGGAUGAGAGGCUUUGACUCAAGAUACAUACAAACACAUGUUAUGUGUACAGAUAUCUAUAAAAAUAUAUCGUGUGCAGUCUACUUACUGCUUACUGUGUCAGGGACUCUGAUAAUAUUAUGCUUAAUUCUUACUAAAAGCUGAGGAUGAGAAUAUUAUUUCCCCCAUUUCACAUGUGGGGAAGUUGAGCCCCUGAGAAGCUAAGAAAAGUCUUCUAGACCAAACAGCUAGCAAGUGGAGUAGGCACACCCUUUACAUUUUUUAGCCCGUGCUCUAAACCGUACUGACCGAUAAACCAAAAAUGAAAAGAUGACCUGUGUCUCCAUUAGCUUUUUUAGUAAUGGCUUGUGAUUUUGUAUCUAAGUGGUUCUCCUUUACAUUAACAGUGUUUUACAUUGUGUCUAGGCCAUGCUAAGGCCAAGGUAAACACUGGACUAAAAAGGAAGGAAGGAAAGUCUAAACACAUUGCUGUGCGUAGAUCUCAUUCUUGCUAUGCUGCUGUGGAUGUGCCAUAAAACCACUACAACCAUCAUACACAAAUGCAUAUAAAUUCGUACAAGGUAUAGCUUGAAACUUAAUCAAUUACUAGUUCCAAUUCCUUUAGUUCAGGAAAAGCCCCAAGGAGAAUAUAAAAAUUGCAGCUGGGGGUUCAAAGAGAAGUAGAGUUUGAUAAGUAGAUUAGAGAAGAGCAGUUUAGUUGAUAUACAGGGGUAUUGUAAGGAGAUCAGAGGGGCUGAAAUAGGUUUGGAGAAGAUAAUGGGAGGUGAUUUAAGUCAGUGUCAAACAAAAAUGUAAGUAAAAGCUAAGUAUUUCUAUAGGCAAAGAACUGAGGUAAGACUGAGUUGAGAUAAUCAAUCCCAAAAGAAAUGUAUAAUCAUAUGAUUUUUAUUAUGAGUAUAUGAUAUAUUCUCUCUUGGUUUCUGAAGUAUAACAACUUGAGAAAUCAUGAUCAAAAACAGAUUUUUGUUAAGCAAGGCACUUGUCCUUUCUCACAUGGUUAGCAUUGGAAGCCAGAAGCAGAAUUUUUGAGUCCUGGAUAAUUUUAGGGAUAAUCUCAUUUUAUCCUCUAUCUUUAGAGUGAAUGGAGUUAUAAAGAAAUUAACUGUGGCUAAUUCAAGUUUAAUGAAUAGCAAUAGAACUGGAUCUAAGGACUCCUGGCUCCCUCUUCAGAGUUCUUUUGACUCCAGUCCAAUUUUCUGGACAAGUUAUCAGUGGGUGUGUCAGGAAAACAGAACCGUGAUCUGAUAUAAAUUAUUUGUUCUUAAAGUUAUAGAAAAAUGUUCUUUUAUCUGGAUAGUUCUGCACAUGCAUUUACUAAUAUCUUUGGCAUGUAGAAAAUUGGUUUCAUAAUCUCCAGAGAAAAAAUUGUUAAUUUCUGCCUGGAGCAUUCUCUCUGCUGAUUCCUAUCAGAAUAUUUGCAACUCUAAAAUUAAUUUUACCCCAUUUACUGUGUUGGUUGUAAUGAAUCAUAUUCAAAAUCACCAAAAACUUAUACAAAAGACUGCACAGAAGAGAGAAAAAAAUGUGUUUGGUUUUCCCAAGCUGCUUCUCUGUUGAUUAUUACCAGGUAGCAUUUUUUUUUCUCAUUUCUUAUUCUCAUUUAUAUGAAAAUCCAGAUAGAAAUGAAAGUAAUGUAUUAGCUGUUUUGGAAAAAAAAUGUUAAGUCAAUUAUACUCUUGCAAGAUUUAUAAGAACUAAAGUGCGUUUAAAUUUGAAUUGUCAAAGGAAAUUUUACAUGCAUUAAGCACUCAGUAAAAUCCAUCAUAUGUAUUUAAUUAUGCACUGGGUUUUGAACUGCUAGAUCUAAAGUGGAAUUUUUAUUGAAAAAAGAUUUUUUUUAGGGAACUUAUUCUAGGCAUUGCUUUAAAUUAUACGUGUAGGUAUAAGUCAGAUAUUCAUGCAUUUUAGUGAGACGAUUUGGGGGAGAGUGUGUAUGUAAGUGUGUGUGUGUGUGUGUGUGACAUAAGUAGACAUAGGUAAUUUUUUCCUCUCUUUGUAAUAAACAUACUUUAGAAAAAAAUAACAAUUGUCAGGACUGUCAAAGUGCAAGGAAGGGCCUUAAACCUUAUAUGUAUUCAGGUGCCAUGGAAAACCUACUACUUUUGUUAUCCUUUAGAUUCCUAACAAUAUGUGUAUUGAAAUCCUGCCUAGUGGGGUGUUAUUUCUAAGUAUGGAAAGUCUUAUCUUAGCAGAGUAAGCAUUGACCUUUAAAUCUCUCCUUCAACUGAAACGCUAAAAUAACUGAGCAUAUUACAUAAAUGCAAUGAACAUACUUUUUAGAAAUGCAAGGCCCUACAAAGCAUAUUGAACGACUCACAGAUAUAUGAGAUGGUCCCUGUGUGUGAUGUUGUAUCUGUACAGUUUCACAGUCAAAUAUGGAUGAACCAAGCAUAAUUCUAUAUUACAAAUGAAAGGACAUGGUAAGAAUACUUUGCUGUAAUGAACUCAUCUAUUUAUGCAUGAAAAACUUCACAUGGCUCUGACCCUAAUGACUUAAAUAUUCCCUCCGUGGAGCAUUCCUCAAGCCCUAUUAAUAUUUUCAUAUCCGCCAGUAACAGAGAAUUAUUGAAAAUGAAAUAAGAUAUUGAGCAUUCUGGCAUAGGCAUCAUUCUUAGAGUUGUUACUUUAAAUGAAAACUGGUACAUAAGGUAGCCCCAAAUCGUAGCCACUCUUGAAAUGAUAAUUUUAUCCAUUACUUUCCUCUCCACUUCCACAAACAAUAUCCACAACCCGAAGUAAUAAUGUCACCUGGUAUUAGUUUAAGCCAAGUCAAGUGAAAAAUGUGGAAAUGAAAUGCUUUAUUUUGCUAGCCUCUCUGGGGCUAUUGAGAUUAACAUAAAGAGGCAGUAUUCCUGGGAGCAUCAGUGUGUAUAACGUUGAUGAUUUCUUCUGAAAGCAGAACAAUGAGGAAAAGCAUUUGAAAGCAAAAGAAAGGUGAAAAAGGUUUAUUAAAGGGAUACUAGAAUGGCAGUCAAGGAUCAUGCACUGGAAUUCCUGCAUGUGUGCCUGAUACAUAAUUUGAACAGGUGAUUUUCAUUUUCCUGUGCCUUCUUUGGGUUUUAUAUGUUGGAAGUAUGAAUAACAAUCUACUUUUUGGAGAUAGAAUUAAAUGCUACCUAAAGUGAUUAUAAGAUCUAGAUUAUUCUCAUUCAAUAAUACAUACUUUUUCUUGAUAUGUUUCAUAGAAUUAUCUAAAACAAAAAUAUGGUUAAUUUGUACAAUGUAUAGUUACUGAAGGGUUGUUCAUCUUUGGGGAUAACUUUUUUAGCAUCCAAAAUACUAUCUUCAUGGCUGGAUAUUUAGUAUUAGUAAAGGCCUCCUUACAGGACGUGUGGCUAAUUGCCAAACCAAGGUACUUUAUCAUUUGAUAAUGAUAAUUGCUUUAGUUAUCAAAUUAUUUUGCACAUCUGUUUUUCUAUAUUCCCCUGAAACCUUUCUGUAAUUAGAAAGUUUAGGUAAUGUUGAAGAAUAUUUUAUUGACUUAUCUAAUUUGGGAGUAACUUUGUGUAGUCCUUUUGACUCUGAAUUAAACACAAAUAACAUAUCACUACUCAUUCACUUGGAAAAAAAAAACUGCUUGAUUUAGUCUUGACUCUGUAUUCUACUUUACCCCUUAUGUUUCAAAUUGCCAUCUUUAAAGUGUCUCUCCAAUUUCCCUGCUCCCCUGCAGCUGCGCUGCCAAUGAUCCUUUACCUGGAGCACUAGAGUAUCUUGUCAUCUGUUCUAGACCAUUCUCAAUGAAGUAAGAAUGCUUCUCCCCGAAUGAUCUCAUCAUACCACAUACCUAUUUGGAAACAUUAAUGAUUUACCAUUUUUUAUUUACUUAUUUAAGAUAGGGUUAGCAUGGCACUAAAGAACCUUCACUACCUUCUUUUCUAAUCUUAUCCCUAUUGGCAAACUGGACUGUUCAUUCUGGACCAGUGUAGGGAUCUGAAAUAGAUGAUACACUUCAUGCCACCAGCCACUGACUUUUUCUGUUCCCAUCACUGCAGUGUUCUUCUCACCCCUCACUAUUCCUUGGUAGAUAAAAGCCAAUCAUUUCAAAAUCCAGAUUAAAUAUCAAGGCCUCAGGCAAAAUUCCUCCCCUCAAAUAUGGGCCUCUAUAGCACAAUACCUUGUGCCUUUACAAUUUUUCAGUAUUUGUGCUAUCUCAUACACUGUAAGCUGCAACAGUGCAACAUCAGAUUCUGUUUAUUUUUCUGUCGUUGUAGCACCCAGAAGAGUGACUGUAAUGUCAAAUCUUCUCAAAGAGUUUCUACAAAAUGAAUUAUGUGUGAGGUUUUGAGUAGAUGCAUUCAUAUCCAAUUGUUCUGUUAUAUUUCCCACCAAAUACAUGUAUAUCAAG